UUCACAUAUUUCUCCAUUUUUUUUCUUAGUAUAUUGAUAUGUCUCUUUCUUGACUAAGUGAUCUCCAUAUUUUGAUCUUUGGAAUUCCAUCAACUUUUCAAUCAACCCUUCUUCUAUCAUAGCUUCAACCAUUUCUUUUCUACCAGAAUAUACAAUUUCGCAGAUGCAAUCCAUUGCUGCUACUUGAAUUGAUAAAUCUUAUGACCUCAAAAGGCUUAUAAUUCUUGGGGUUUUUCCAUCCAAUUCAAUUUCACCAAUCAAUGGAGUCUUGAUCAAUCUUAUAAGUGAACAAAGAAAGCCAUUGAUAUCAAAGAUUGAACAAUUGGACCCACUAAAACCAACCCAACAAACGAUUUCGAUCAGUACUCUUAUUGUGGGGUUUUGCUAUUUAUGCCCCUUUCACAUACGAUAUCAAUUAAACACUAAUAUGAUCGAUAAGUGCAUAAAUCAAAUUUAGUUCAUUUUGAUUUAGAUUAGGAUUGUUACCUUGGAGCGGAAAAGAGGAAGAGAUGGAAAAAGAAUUGAGGAACGGUGCAAAUUAGAGGUAAUCGGAGCAGACUAGCAACUACAACAAUGGUGCAAAGUACGGAGGUUGAUUGAAGAGAAGCAAGCAAGCUGAGAAUGUGCAGGUGCUCAAGCCGCCAUGAUUCAGAUGAGCAACUCAGAGGUAAUUGGAGCAGACUAGCAACUGCAAAAUUGCUACUGUAAAUAAAUGGGUCUUUGUUUCACACGGUGGCUAAUUACCUCUGAUAUUCAAAUAAUUUUUAUUUUAUUUUUAAAAAUAGAAAGAAAGUAGUGACUGCUCCUGCCAUUUGGUUUCAUUAGUAAUCAAAUCUGAUCGAUGAUUAUCAAGAAUAGGAGAUGUUACUGCUGUUGUUACGUGUUUGAUCAUUUAUUAGUUUCAAGUAUCAAAUCAGUAAAAACAGUUUCAUUAAGCAUCUUUGAUGUAUCACUCUGCAUUUUGAUUCUUGAAUAUAAGUGAAAAUGAUUCUAGCGGAAGAAUCUCUGAUCCAAGGAAGUCUUGCUGGCUCGUCUUCUUGGAUGAAUGUUGACUAUUACUUUUUUUUUCUUCUAUACGAUGUCAUUUAGAACAGAUGAGACCCAUUUUUAUGAGGAGGAUUAACUUUUCAUGUAAGCGUGUGAUGUGUCAUUUUUUAAAAGUUUAUGUGGAUUGUCGGCUAGCACAUCAGCUAAAACUUAUCGAAAUUUUGUACGACUAAACAGAAAUAAUGGAUACAGUAUUAAAAAGAAACAAUUUGAAGAAUUGAUAUCAAUUGGAUAUAAGUCGUAAAGUAUUAAAAUCAACAGGGCAAUUUAUCCAUUAUCACAACAAUAUCUGCGCAUGGAAGUUAGGAAUGCCGAUUUUGCUAUUGGAAGUCACAAAUCUCUUGGACUAGAUGGCUUUGAUAGCCUUACUUUCGAGAAGAGUUGGGAAAUGAUUGGUUCAGACAUUACCGAGGCAGUUUAAGACUUUUCCAGGAUAGGCAAUUUAAUACUUUCCAAGGACAGGCAAGCCUCUAAAAUAUAUCAAUUCUACACUAGUGUUCCCCAGGUGGUGAAUCCUCAGAAGCUUGGAGACUAUAGACCAGCUCUUGUUGCAUUGUAUAGAAGUAUUACCAAAACCAUAGCAGCAGAUUAUAAAGAGUAUUACCUACUUUGAUAGAUUGAGGAUAUUUUUCUUGCAUAUGAGCUAGGGCUAAAUUACCAUCAUGAAAAGGGUCCUGGGGACUAUGCUUUAAAGUUGAUUUAAAGAAGACACAUGACUAGACUCACUGGGACUGUACUGAAUAAGAUUUAUUGGCUACGGAGUUUUCUGGGAAAUACAUUCAGUGGAUAGCGGUUUGCAUUAGAACUCCUUAUUUUUCUGUUAUGGUUAAUGGCAGUCCUGAGGGGUUCGUUUUCUUGGCACAAAGGCGAUCCAAUCUCACCUUUGCCUUUUAAGCUGAAUAUUGAGAAUCUGUCCAGAAAUUAAUACUGCGAGUGAAAAGGUGCCUUUGGAGAUUAUUCCCAUGAAGUUGUGUGUACACACACACACACACACA